UCUUUAAUUUUAUCUGUUUUAUUAGUGAUUGUUGUAUUUACUUUCAUAAAUUCUAAAUAUAAUAUAUAAUUAGUUGUAUAGUUUCUUAAUAAUAUAAUUAACUUUAUUGUUUCAAGAUAAAGUUGUAUCCUUGAAAGAUAUGCUGGUAUUAUUGGCACAAUGGGCAAGCAUUGAAGUGCAACUUUGUGAACUGCAAAAUACAUCAAAUUCAGUUAUAAAAAUUUGAGUGUCAAAGGUAUGCUAAUCAUUGUAUUGCCUGAAAGAGUGUCAUUGCCAUUAAAAGCAGUGAAGAAUUCAAGUACUCUGGAAGAAAAAAAACAAGAAAACGCUUCAGUAAAUGGUUAAUUAUAUGUCACAAAUUGGAGUUAAAGACGAAGGAGAUUGUAUAUGUUAUUUACUAAGAAUAGUUUAUUAAAACGGCCUAGCUGUAAAAUUAAAUUAUGCAGGAAGAGGAUAAAAAAUUGGAACAGGAAAAAUGUUGAUUGCAUUUGCUGCUAUUAAAACUGUGAAGUCAAAUAAGCAUGGCUUAUGCAGACAUGUGAUAGAGAUAGUGGAAGAAAAAAUAAUAAUCGUGGGCACCUAAUAUCAUCAGCUAAACAAUAUUCAAUAACAAGUAGCUCAGUCAAUAUCGAAACUACUCUAUAAAUUUUAUAAUGAAUUUUUUUAUUUAAAACUCAAUGUGUCAGUUUUUGGUAUAUGUUUUGUGUUUGCAAUAUGUAUAUUUAA